rnacentral:rRNA from 1 species
AUUGAACGCUGGCGGCAUGCCUUACACAUGCAAGUCGAACGGUAACAGGUCUUCGGAUGCUGACGAGUGGCGAACGGGUGAGUAAUACAUCGGAACGUGCCCGAUCGUGGGGGAUAACGAAGCGAAAGCUUUGCUAAUACCGCAUACGAUCUACGGAUGAAAGCAGGGGACCGCAAGGCCUUGCGCGAACGGAGCGACCGAUGGCAGAUUAGGUAGUUGGUGGGAUAAAAGCUUACCAAGCCGACGAUCUGUAGCUGGUCUGAGAGGACGACCAGCCACACUGGGACUGAGACACGGCCCAGACUCCUACGGGAGGCAGCAGUGGGGAAUUUUGGACAAUGGGCGAAAGCCUGAUCCAGCCAUGCCGCGUGCAGGAUGAAGGCCUUCGGGUUGUAAACAGCUUUUGUACGGAACGAAAAGACUCUGGUUAAUACCUGGGGUCCAUGACGGUACCGUAAGAAUAAGCACCGGCUAACUACGUGCCAGCCGCCGCGGUAAAAC